rnacentral:tRNA from 1 species
UAUAUUUAAGUAUAAGACGUACAGGGAUCUUUGAUGUCCAAGGGGGUAGUUUAAUUCUACCAAGUAUAA